rnacentral:tRNA from 1 species
GCCUGGUUAGCAUAAAAGUAAUGCUGCCGUUUUGUAAUCGGUAGAAGUAAGUGCAAUACUUACACUGGGCC